rnacentral:rRNA from 1 species
UGAUUAUGGCUCAGGAUGAACGCUAGCGGCAGGCUUAAUACAUGCAAGUCGUGGGGCAGCGCAGGUAGCAAUACUGGGCGGCGACCGGCAAACGGGUGCGGAACACGUACACAACCUUCCGAGAAGUGGGGAAUAGCCCAGAGAAAUUUGGAUUAAUACCCCGUAACAUAACGAUGUGGCAUCACAUUGUUAUUAUAGCUUCGGCGCUUCUUGAUGGGUGUGCGGCUGAUUAGAUAGUUGGCGGGGUAACGGCCCACCAAGUCUACGAUCAGUAGCUGAUGUGAGAGCAUGAUCAGCCACACGGGCACUGAGACACGGGCCCGACUCCUACGGGAGGCAGCAGUAAGGAAUAUUGGUCAAUGGACGCAAGUCUGAACCAGCCAUGCCGCGUGAAGGAUUAAGGUCCUCUGGAUUGUAAACUUCUUUUAUCUGGGACGAAAAAAGGCGAUUCUUCGUCACUUGACGGUACCAGAUGAAUAAGCACCGGCUAACUCCGUGCCAGCAGCCGCGGUAAUACGGAGGGUGCAAGCGUUAUCCGGAUUCACUGGGUUUAAAGGGUGCGUAGGCGGGCAGGUAAGUCAGUGGUGAAAUCCUAGAGCUUAACUCUAGAACUGCCAUUGAUACUAUCUGUCUUGAAUAUUGUGGAGGUAAGCGGAAUAUGUCAUGUAGCGGUGAAAUGCUUAGAUAUGACAUAGAACACCUAUUGCGAAGGCAGCUUACUACGCAUAUAUUGACGCUGAGGCACGAAAGCGUGGGGAUCAAACAGGAUUAGAUACCCUGGUAGUCCACGCCCUAAACGAUGAUUACUCGACAUUUGUGAUACACUAUAAGUGUCUGAGCGAAAGCAUUAAGUAAUCCACCUGGGAAGUACGACCGCAAGGUUGAAACUCAAAUGAAUUGACGG